rnacentral:rRNA from 1 species
GUCAAGUCAGCAUGGCCCUUACAUCCUGGGCGAGAAACACGCUACAAUGGCCGGGACAGAGGGUUGCCAAGCGGUAACGCGGAGCUAAUCCCCCAAACCCGGUCUCAGUUCGGAUCGUGGGCUGCAACUCGCCCACGUGAAGGUGGAGUCGCUAGUAACCGCAGGUCAGCAGUACUGCGGUGAAUAUGUUCCCGGGCCUU